UAGAACGUGCCAAAUUAUCCA
rnacentral:siRNA from 1 species